AUUGAACGCUGGCGGAAUGCUUUACACAUGCAAGUCGAACGGCAGCACGGGAGCUUGCUCCUGGUGGCGAGUGGCGAACGGGUGAGUAAUGCGUCGGAACGUACCGAGUAAUGGGGGAUAACGCACCGAAAGGUGUGCUAAUACCGCAUACGCCCCGAGGGGAAAGCAGGGGAUCGCAAGACCUUGCGUUAUUCGAGCGGCCGACGUCUGAUUAGCUAGUUGGUGAGGUAAUGGCUCACCAAGGCGACGAUCAGUAGCGGGUCUGAAGAGGAUGACUCCGACCACACGUAGGAACUGAGACGACCGGUCCAGACCUCCGUACGGGGUGGCUCG
rnacentral:rRNA from 1 species